rnacentral:rRNA from 1 species
UACGUAGGGUCCUAGCGUUGUCCGGAAUUAUUGGGCGUAAAGAGCUCGUAGGCGGCGUGUCGCGUCGGAUGUGAAAGCCCGGGGCUUAACUCCGGGUCUGCAUUCGGUACGGGCAUGCUGGAGUUCGGUAGGGGAGACUGGAAUUCCUGGUGUAGCGGUGAAAUGCGCAGAUAUCAGGAGGAACACCGGUGGCGAAGGCGG